AGGGAGAAUCGGGGUGAGGUGGUGGAGCGGAGGAGGAACAGAAGCAUGACGCAGACGCCGGUAGCCGGGGGCGCGGCUGCGCGGGCAUGGCUGCACCGCAUCCGCACGAGCACGGGGCUGGCUGCCGCCGGUGCGCCCCAGCGCCUACAGCCCGCGACUAGGACCGAAUCAAUCCUUUCUCCUCUGCAGUUCCCCUGCCAAGCAAACAAUAAUGGAAAAGUCCAGUCAGAGAAGAAUUGAUUUUGUCUUAAAAAGAAAAAGGGAUGGGACAAAUGAAAAUGAAGAUCCUUUGGUAGCAGCAAAUGAUAUCUUGUCCUUGCUUCAAUUGGAACAGCAGCAACAAAACAAUGACGAUGGAUUUCGGACAAAUGAACCGGUCACUUUUCGAGUUUGAAGAUUAUUAAAACAAGGUUGCGCAAUAAGAUUGAAGAUGACAAUCUGGCCAAUAACAUGUUAGUUCACAUAGAGGGUGCUAUUCUGGAGGAUUACAAGUAUGAUGAUGUCAUUUUUGAUUUUAAAAGCAUCAAGGAUCGGGCAGCUGACUUGUAGUAUGUAUCUCCAUGUCUAAACACAUAGGUUGUCUAGUUAUUUUUGUGUAGUAGCUUCUUUUGCUGUAUAGUAGUAUAUUACAUAUAUGGAUUCCUCUCCUGAUUUUGUAAGCACCGGGACCAAAAUGAUUUUAUCGAUGACUAAUUUCUAAUGAACUGGUGUGUUUGGGAACUUUUUUUAUAAGUUUCUGUAAGUCGGCCCGCCCAAGAAAAGUUUUCAAGC